rnacentral:rRNA from 1 species
GAUGAACGCUGGCGGCGUGCCUAAUACAUGCAAGUCGAGCGAACGGACGAGAAGCUUGCUUCUCUGAUGUUAGCGGCGGACGGGUGAGUAACACGUGGAUAACCUACCUAUAAGACUGGGAUAACUUCGGGAAACCGGAGCUAAUACCAGAUAAUAUUUUGAACCGCAUGGUUCAAAAGUGAAAGACGGUCUUGCUGUCACUUAUAGAUGGAUCCGCGCUGCAUUAGCUAGUUGGUAAGGUAACGGCUUACCAAGGCAACGAUGCAUAGCCGACCUGAGAGGGUGAUCGGCCACACUGGAACUGAGACACGGUCCAGACUCCUACGGGAGGCAGCAGUAGGGAAUCUUCCGCAAUGGGCGAAAGCCUGACGGAGCAACGCCGCGUGAGUGAUGAAGGUCUUCGGAUCGUAAAACUCUGUUAUUAGGGAAGAACAUAUGUGUAAGUAACUGUGCACAUCUUGACGGUACCUAAUCAGAAAGCCACGGCUAACUACGUGCCAGCAGCCGCGGUAAUACGUAGGUGGCAAGCGUUAUCCGGAAUUAUUGGGCGUAAAGCGCGCGUAGGCGGUUUUUUAAGUCUGAUGUGAAAGCCCACGGCUCAACCGUGGAGGGUCAUUGGAAACUGGAAAACUUGAGUGCAGAAGAGGAAAGUGGAAUUCCAUGUGUAGCGGUGAAAUGCGCAGAGAUAUGGAGGAACACCAGUGGCGAAGGCGACUUUCUGGUCUGUAACUGACGCUGAUGUGCGAAAGCGUGGGGAUCAAACAGGAUUAGAUACCCUGGUAGUCCACGCCGUAAACGAUGAGUGCUAAGUGUUAGGGGGUUUCCGCCCCUUAGUGCUGCAGCUAACGCAUUAAGCACUCCGCCUGGGGAGUACGACCGCAAGGUUGAAACUCAAAGGAAUUGACGGGGACCCGCACAAGCGGUGGAGCAUGUGGUUUAAUUCGAAGCAACGUGAAGAACCUUACCAAAUCUUGACAUCCUUUGACAACUCUAGAGAUAGAGCUUUCCCCUUCGGGGGACAAAGUGACAGGUGGUGCAUGGUUGUCGUCAGCUCGUGUCGUGAGAUGUUGGGUUAAGUCCCGCAACGAGCGCAACCCUUAAGCUUAGUCGCCAUCAUUAAGUUGGGCACUCUAAGUUGACUGCCGGUGACAAACCGGAGGAAGGUGGGGAUGACGUCAAAUCAUCAUGCCCCUUAUGAUUUGGGCUACACACGUGCUACAAUGGACAAUACAAAGGGCAGCGAAACCGCGAGGUCAAGCAAAUCCCAUAAAGUUGUUCUCAGUUCGGAUUGUAGUCUGCAACUCGACUACAUGAAGCUGGAAUCGCUAGUAAUCGUAGAUCAGCAUGCUACGGUGAAUACGUUCCCGGGUCU